UAGAGAUAAAGGUUUAGGGUUUAGAGUUGAUGUUUUAGGGUUUAGAGUUGAUGUUUUAGGGUUUAGAGUUGAUGUUUUAGGGUUUAGGGUUUAGAGUUUACUUUUUAGGGUUUAGGGUUUAGUGUUGAUAGUGUUGGGUUUAGUGUUGAUGGUUUAGAGUUUAGAGUUGAAGUUUAGGGUUUAGGGUUUAGAGUUGAUGUUUUAGGGUUUAGAGUUGAAGGUUUAGGGUUUAGGGUUUAGGGUUUAGAGUUGAUGUUUUGGGGUUUAGGGUUUAGAGUUGAUGUUUCUGGGUUUAGGGUUUAGAGUUGAUGUUUCAGGGUUUAGGGUUCGUAUUUUAAAAAAAAAGGUUUCAGGAUUGAUGGUUUAGGGUUUAGGGUUGAGUUUUAGGGUUUAGAGUUUGAAUUUCGAAAUAGUAUAAUUUAUUUAAAUAUUUUUGUAAUAUGUAUUUUUUAUAUAUAUAAAGAAUAAGGGCAGAAGAGUCUUUUGCCACUUAACGAAGAAUGUAUUUUUGAAAAUGUAUUUUUUGUGGAGGUAAAAAUGAAAAUUGGUAGCAUGAAAGUGGUAAAUAUGUCAGUUUCCCAUUUAUUGGAAAAUUGCCAAAAAUACAUUUUUCAAAGUACCACCUUUCAUGUUUACACUAACCACUUUUACAUUCAUCUUUAAUGAAGGGUAAAAGACAUUUAUACUCUUUUGAUUAAGUUUGACAAAAAAAAACAUAUGGUUAACUAAUCUAAACUUAAAACAUCAACUCUAAACCCUAAACCAUGAAACAUCAACUCUAAACCCUAAACCCCGAAACAUCAACUCUAAACCCUAAACCCUAAACCAUCAAAUCUAAACCCUAAAACAUCAACUCUAAACCCUAAACGUAAACAUUGAACCCUGAACCCUAUAUUUUUCUGAAAUUCCAACCCUAAACCUUCAAAUUUAAACCCUAAAACAUCAACUCUAAACCCUAAACCCUAAACUUUCAACUCUAAACCCUAACACAUCAACUCUAAACCCUAAACCCUAAACCAUCAAAUCUAAACCCUAAAACAUCAACUCUAAGGUUUUAGGGUUUAGGGUUUAUUAUUUAGGGUUUAGGGUUUAGAGAUAAAGGUUUAGGGUUUAGAGUUGAUGUUUUAGGGUUUAAAUUUGAAGGUUUAGGGUUGGAAUUUCAGAAAAAUAUAGGGUUCAGGGUUCAAUGUUUACGUUUAGGGUUUAGAGUUGAUGUUUUAGGGUUUAGGGUUUAGUGUUGAUAGUUUAGGGUUUAGAGGUGAAGUUUAGGGUUUAGGGUUUAGAGUUGAUGUUUUAGGGUUUAGAGUUGAAGGUUUAGGGUUUAGGGUUUAGGGUUUAGAGUUGAUGUUUUGGGGUUUAGGGUUUAGAGUUGAUGUUUCUGGGUUUAGGGUUUAGAGUUGAUGUUUCAGGGUUUAGGGUUCGUAUUUUAAAAAAAAAGGUUUCAGGAUUGAUGGUUUAGGGUUUAGGGUUGAGUUUUAGGGUUUAGAGUUUGAAUUUCGAAAUAGUAUAAUUUAUUUAAAUAUUUUUGUAAUAUGUAUUUUUUAUAUAUAUAAAGAA
rnacentral:lncRNA from 1 species